UUGUCCGUUUUUCAAAAUGAAAUCUUUCAUCGUCGCUGCGUUGGUUGUUGUUUUUGCCCUUGUGGCCAUUGCAGAGGAGAAGCGAUUCUUUAUUAAGACAUGUAGGUCUGAUCAAGAUUGUCAAGAGGGGCAAUGCUGCGCGAAGUACUUCCUUGUUGGCAAAUGCCAAAACUACCUCCAAGAAGGAAAGUUAUGUCUUGGGGGUUUUGGGAAGCGUGGUUUGGGUUUCAAGCCAAGCUGUGGCUGUGCUGAAGGGCUAUCCUGCCAAAAGUCUGGCUUUUUUCUUCGAAAAUGUGUGGUGGAGGAAGGAUCUGGCGAGAUGUAGUUCCAAAAGUUAUACCAUCACAUAACUCGACUCGUGGACAUGCAUGCUAAAAAUAAAAUGAUCAAAUAAAGUUGAAAAGUAAUUAAAAAUGAAA